rnacentral:lncRNA from 1 species
GGGUCUGUGGCUUCAUUCUUGAAGCAAUGAGACGAAGAACCCACCAGAAGGAACCAAUUCCGGACACAUUUUGGCGACCACAAAGGGAAAAUCGACUAUCACCAAGCGGUGGUCUAAUACUCAACAUUUGUCAGUGCCCACUGGAAACCAUUCUGAGACUCCCUGCAGCUGAGGAUCACAGCUUUUCAUUGUAAUGAUGUGAAUUAUUGCUGAACUGAUGACCUCAAACUCCUGCAAACAACUUGGAUAUCAGUGACCCCAUGAGAAUCUGUAAUAUCACUGGACAUGAAAAGAAGCCUGGUCCCUUCUACAACCAUGACAUAUAUUUGUAUUUAUGGUCCUCUGGAGAAUCUUGCCUUUUCCCACCAAUUUUUAUUUUACUCUAUCUAUAGUAUUGUAAUUUCAGAAGAAGAAAAUAAACUACAUUCCAUUCA